UUUCAUGUUAGUUGAUACUUUGUGUUUGCAAACAAAGCUCAGACCUAUCUCUCUCAGGGCAUUACUUCCAUACCACACAUGAUUUUAUUUUCUUUGCAGACAUCAACGAUAGGGACCAUGCUAUUGAAUGCAUUAGCUGAUUCAGAUGCCAACGGGGAAUUCUGCGAAGAGACAUUUGUGGCCAAUGUGCAGGUAUGCACGAUAAUGUGUGUGUUUCGCAUUAUCCAUUUGUUAUUGAACCUUUGUCUCUAUUCUGUCAUCAAUCAAAGGCUUCAUGCUGAGAUUGAACCAACCAUGAAAAUGAGAACCGAAGAAAAGAUUAUUAUCUCUUUCUCCCAUCAUUGGGAUCAACCCUUUUAGGCUUUCAGGUUGAGCAGCGACUUUACAUAUAAACGGACCUCCGUAACAAUUUGUACAGUGCUAGGCAAUUGAAGAAAUAUGAUAGCUCUAAAAUGCAUGCCACUUUAUUUACAAUUCUGUGCAAUUAUGGAGCAGAUAUUGAGCCCACAUAGUGCACUUCAUUAUACAACAUAUAACAUGAACGAUAUGUAAUAUUUAUCUGUCAUUACUUGUCUGGCUCGAACUCAGUAGGACAUAUCUUUUCCUGCUCACAUGGUUUCUAAAGUCAGUGACUGGCAGUUUUGGCAACACAUGGUACAUGCGCUCGGAAUGAAGGCCUGGAUGUGCUGAACAGGUUUGGCACACACUACUGGACACACUUGGUUUGAUACUACGUAACCAAAUAGACUCUGGAUUUAACACAAUUCAGCUAUAUGGUCUCCCCAAUUUAUUUCAGAGGGCUACACACUCAUCAAAUCAGUGGAUCAGAUGGAAAUUAUGCUUCUGACCCAGCUGUUAAAAUAUACAAAGCUGCAUAAAUCAACUUGAACAUUUUAGAUGUCUCAUCAAGACCUCCUCAUGUGUCUCUGUUUAUAUUCACCCAUCGAGAUUUCUAUCUAUGUACUUUGCCAAUAUGUGUCAUAUAUAAUGUAAUUAACAAAUGGGCCUACAUAAAACCUUUAAUUGACUGCCACUCAACCAAGCUCUACAGUCUACUAUUUGUUCUUCAUCUUUAAUAAACAAAAAAAUGAAAAAUUUAGAUGAGUAAGAAAACAACUUUUUACUAUUUUAUCAUUGGUUAUCGUGCGUGCAAUUUUACUAGUUUCCUUGGUCUGAAAGCCUUACCAUCAUUUUCUUCUUGCAGGCGGCCAUGGCAAGAGCAUAUUGUGCAGAGGACGUGGAUGAGAAGAAACUUAUGGUUCUCAUUCAAUCUUUGUGGAACUCUCUUUAUGUGCGAUUGUGCAUUUGUUGGAACCUUUUUUCUGUGCACUUGCACAAGUAUUCUGUUGUGCACAUGUAAAAUUAUUUUGAUGUGUCCUUGUUAGGUGUUGAACCUUAAUGCGUGGAGUCAGUGGAUGAUGUAUUGUAUUUGAUGUGAUAUGCUAUUGAAAUGAAAUAUACAUUUUAUUUGCAAUCUUUUAUUUUGUUGUACUUAUUUUUAAUGGGCCUAUCUUGAGAUAUGCGUGCUUCUAGCAAAAAAAAUGCUU
rnacentral:lncRNA from 1 species